CUGUUUCAGGCAUGGGAGAUGGUGGUGGGAAAGUGAAGCGACACUUCUGUGAGUGGCUGGUGCAAGGGGAGGGAUGCUUGGUUGCACACUGAGAAUUCCCUUCUCCUCCUUGGGGAAAGCAUAAGGGAGAGGGAAGGCUUUCAUAAACCCUUCUGAUAGAUGCAUUAUCUUACAUGUGUAUACAGAGGUGUAUGAGAGCUGGGCCCUCUGUUUGGGGUCUGGAGUCCAUCACUCCCCCUUUACCCCCCCCUGCAUAGAGACCCUCAGUCCCCUCCUGCUGCAUUGCAAUGGAGCCUAUUUGUUGCUGGUGCUGUGGAAGCAAAUGGAUUAGCAGGGCACUGUGUGAAAGUAGCCAGAGCUUUUCAGGAAUGUGCGUGGUGGUGGCUAUUAUCCAGGGCUCUUCAGUCUCCUGGGACUGAUUUGCUGUGUUCUGGACAUUCCCAGUGCUGACUCCUCUUGUCUGGGGUGGCCAAGUAGGGCAGAUGCUGAAUUAUUUAUUGCCCUCCAGCCCCUAAAGGGAGGCCCGCAGUGCAUUCCUGACUGACUCAGAUUGAAUUUUAACUCUACCUUUUUAUUAACCUUUACUUAAGAAGGUGCUGCUUAGUCUUCUCCUCAAAUACCAGCAAUUGCUAAACAGGACAAAUACCUCAGAAGAGAUCUGCUUUUUAUUUUGUUUGUCCUCGAUAACAUGUGAUCCCAUUGCAGAUCACCUCUGAGGCUGACCUUGUCUUUGGAUCAGGGCUGUCACACUGAGCUGUGAAAACCCCUUUCCUGCCUCACCUGGAGCAAUCUCUGCUUCUCAGGAUGUUCUAUGGGGCUUUCCAAAGUGGUGUGGCCGCUUCUGUGACACUUUGCACAGUGCUCAGGUUCAGCCUUGCCUUCAUGGAGAAGCCACUUGAGAGCAGAGGGUGGAAAUGUGCAAUAAUAAAGCAUUUGGUUUCGAGUGGGAAAAAUGCUGUCUGAAGGGCUGUGGCUCAGUGGAAGGAAGCAGGGAGCUCACAGAGGUGUCACUGCUUUGGAGAUGGGGGGGGGGAAAGGAGAGAAAAUGCAGAGGAUACUCGGGAAUGGGGUCGGGUGCUCCUGGGGCAUCUCCUGGGCUCUGCAUGGGGAGCAAUGUGAAGGAAGAGCAGCCUGUGUCAGGCCUUUCUCUCCCCGCAGCCAGUUUCCCAGGAGGAGGAUGCUGGAUUCUGAGCAAGCCCAGCAGAGGGACCCUCCAUGCAAGAGGGGCUGCCUGGCCCUGCACAUCUCAACCCCCUCCUGGCGUUCCCAGCCCUGUUUGCUUCCUGCGUCAGAGCUGCAGGUGAGUCACAGCUGGGAUUCCUCAGCUCUGAAGUGGUUCCUUAUCCUUUCCCCCCCCUCCUUUUCUCCUCCCCAGGUGCUGAGUAUUUUUUUUUUUUAUUCCAAAGCCUUGAAUUGAAGGGUGUGUCUAUGAAAUCUCACAAACACACACAGGCCCCGGCAGGAAUAGGUGAGCACAGUUCCCAUUAUGUUAUGAAUACCUGGCUGAUUGCCACGGGGAUGGUGCCAGGCUGAGCAGCCAAUCUCCAGCACCAAGACCUGCUGAGCUCUGGGGUUUUGCUCCUCUCUCUAAGUCACUGCUUUGCAGAGAUGGACAGUUUUAAUCUCUUCUCAGCAACAGCCAUGUUUUUCUACUUGCUUGGCCUGAUGUGAUAUCCCAGUUCCCACGGUUCACUUCUUCCCAGGGUAAUGUACAGGUAGGGGUGGAGAGUUGAGCAGGCAGCUCUGGACUGCCCGUCCUUCUGUGUGACUCAUC
rnacentral:lncRNA from 1 species